GCGUGGGCUGGGAUCUCUAGAUUUGACAGGCUAAGAAGGUCGUGGUAACCGGCGAAACAUCUUAGGAAUACCGGAGGCACGUUUUGAACUGAGAGUUACCGAAUUGGAUAACCACUCAUAAGUUUUGUGCAUUGUAGUUGUUAUGUUUCGAAGCGUUCUCGGUGAACUGAAACAUCUUAGUACCCAAAGUAAAAGCAAAGUAAUUACGAUUAUCCUUGUAACGGCGAGUGGUGGGAUAGUUUUCUUGAAACGUAAGUAUUUACGACAAUGAGGGGUCUCAUUUUUGGACAGGCAUGGUGAAGUGUAAUGUAUUGAUUAAGCAUCCGGAAUGAUGAACGGGUAAUUAUAGGUUGAAAGUGCCAUUACCUGAUAAAAUGAUCUUUGAAAAGUUCCCCCAAGUAUGGUAGGGCACGUGAAAUUCUGCCUGAAUUAACGGAGACCUCUCCGAAAAGAUGAAUAUAUUUUGAAGGAAUCGAUAGCGGAAAGUACCGUGAGGGAACGUUGAAAAGAACCCCGGGAGGGGAAUGAAAAAGUAUGUAAAAACGUAAUGCUUAUUUUGCAAGAUAAGAUAGACUUAACGAUUGAAACUGUGCCUGUUGAAGAAUGUGCUAGCGACUUAUGGGUUGUGGCAAGACUU
rnacentral:rRNA from 1 species